rnacentral:rRNA from 1 species
GCGGGGUGCUAUACAUGCAGUCGAACGCUUUUUCUUUCACCGGAGCUUGCUCCAUCGAAAGAAAAAGAGUGGCGAACGGGUGAGUAACACGUGGGUAACCUGCCCAUCAGAAGGGGAUAACACUUGGAAACAGGUGCUAAUACCGUAUAACACUAUUUUCCGCAUGGAAGAAAGUUGAAAGGCGCUUUUGCGUCACUGAUGGAUGGACCCGCGGUGCAUUAGCUAGUUGGUGAGGUAACGGCUCACCAAGGCCACGAUGCAUAGCCGACCUGAGAGGGUGAUCGGCCACACUGGGACUGAGACACGGCCCAGACUCCUACGGGAGGCAGCAGUAGGGAAUCUUCGGCAAUGGACGAAAGUCUGACCGAGCAACGCCGCGUGAGUGAAGAAGGUUUUCGGAUCGUAAAACUCUGUUGUUAGAGAAGAACAAGGAUGAGAGUAAAACGUUCAUCCCUUGACGGUAUCUAACCAGAAAGCCACGGCUAACUACGUGCCAGCAGCCGCGGUAAUACGUAGGUGGCAAGCGUUGUCCGGAUUUAUUGGGCGUAAAGCGAGCGCAGGCGGUUUCUUAAGUCUGAUGUGAAAGCCCCCGGCUCAACCGGGGAGGGUCAUUGGAAACUGGGAGACUUGAGUGCAGAAGAGGAGAGUGGAAUUCCAUGUGUAGCGGUGAAAUGCGUAGAUAUAUGGAGGAACACCAGUGGCGAAGGCGGCUCUCUGGUCUGUAACUGACGCUGAGGCUCGAAAGCGUGGGGAGCGAACAGGAUUAGAUACCCUGGUAGUCCACGCCGUAAACGAUGAGUGCUAAGUGUUGGAGGGUUUCCGCCCUUCAGUGCUGCAGCAAACGCAUUAAGCACUCCGCCUGGGGGAGUACGACCGCAAGGUUGAAACUCAAAGGAAUUGACGGGGGCCCGCACAAGCGGUGGAGCAUGUGGUUUAAUUCGAAGCAACGCGAAGAACCUUACCAGGUCUUGACAUCCUUUGACACUCUAGAGAUAGAGCUUCCUCUUCGGGGCAAAGUGACAGGUGNGCAUGGGUGUCGUCAGCUCGU